rnacentral:lncRNA from 1 species
AUUUUUCUUCUGAAGGUACUCUUCUCGCCUCCAUUUCACAUCGUCCGCUCUGCUUCCGAUUCAAUCUGGUCGUCUCUUCUCUUACGCUCUCUACUUCUUCUUGCAACACACCAUGUCGGCACUUCCGAAGAUUCUACAAUUACAUCGCGAAGCUCUACGAAUACGGCGAGCAACUCAACAACUCCAAAGAACAAAUCUCAGGUCAGUCUCACCUCUAUAUUUUCAAUCCGCUAAUUUAAUUGCUCUUCUUUAUUUAUUUAGGGUUUUAGAUUGUACGUUUUGUUGUUCGAGUUUUCUUUCAAUUAGGGUUUUUGACCGUCAUUCUCUCUCCGUUUCUCUUUUAAACAAACACUCAAAUCUUUAGGGAUUUUGUGUAUUGUGUUUUUACUCGACUGAAGAAAUACCUACUUAUUUGAUCUACUUUGCAACUGAUGACACCUUUUUAGCACAGGUGAUACCCUGAAUGCAUUGAAUCCUAAAUGUUCUUCAUUGUUUGUUAAUUAGGUCAAAGUGUUAUGGAGCUUAAAUGAUUUGCAUCGCUUAGCUUAAUAGGUCUGUGUGAGGCAAUUGCUAACAAACAUGGAGUUUAGUGACUUAAUUUUCAUCCAAAGCUUCCUUCAUUUUGGGGCAAUUUUGGUGUUUGAUUUGGUGCUUAAAGCAUCUUUUUAUGUAGAAGGUGGGUGGUUUUGUCUUUACUCUGUAAGGCUUUUGUUUAUUUGAUAAUUGGCUGAUCAAAGUUUUGCUUAUCUUUAGGGUAACAAUAAUACCUAAUUCAAGAGUCCAUUUUGUGACUCAAAUGGUGUGAAUGAAUGUAAAAAAAGAGUAAAGUGCUAGACCAAGAACAAUAUUGAGUAGUGAUUUCACGGACACUUCUGAUCCGCCUAUCAUCGUGAACCCUUAUGAGCACCGUCGUGAUUGUGAGCGCUGUUAAGAACUAUACACUACAGUUUCCAAUUUGUAACAGCCUUGCAACAUCACCAGCCGUUUUGUUCCGUUAGAAGAUUUGAGACCACGGUUGCAACAACUCAGUUUCACAUGUGACUCAUUUGUAUUCAAAGGUUAGUUGUGUUUCCCUUUACCCACUCAGUUAUGCUUCUGAUUAUUUUGAGGUUUUGCUUUUGGUGUUAGAAAUAAUUGCCAAAUAAAAAAAUUAUGUAUGAUGUAUAUUCUAGUGGAAGGUUUAUCAUUAUGUUAGUAAAAACAAGGUAUUAUAUGAUUUGUUUGUAGAUAAAAAAACUGAUUAUAAUUUGUGUGUAGAUGAUGACCUUUAUAUUGUGAUUGUUGAUGUUGGCACAACUUAGACGCCUUUCUUAUGUGUGUUAAAAUGAUAUGAAAAUAUAAGCUAAUAGGUUUUGAAAAGUUAGCAAACUUUAUUGAACUCAUCCUCUGAUAGUUGAUGUCCAUGCCUCAAUUUGGUGUGGUACAAAACAAGUCUAUCAUGAACUUCUGUACUGAUGGGUUAACUAAGUUUUUAUCUUGGUUGAGUAAUUAAUUUCAUUGCUCUUUGGUUUGGUCUCUUUCUCUCUAAAGGAUCUUGAUUGAUUUUCAUAGGUUUUUACUUAGUAUUGAUGGUCCUUUUGCUUUUAAUUUAUUCAUGAGGUACUAAAUGUGUUCUGCUCACUCUGUAAUUAUGUGUAAGACUGGAAAUUUGUUUUAUCCAUGGAGUACUAAUUGUGUUGUGUUGAAAUCAUUCUUACAGUUGGAUAAAUUUGACAGCACUAUGUUAAUUCAGUCACAUAUUUUGCUAAUUACUAACAUUUGAUUUUGAAAUGGUUUCAGAGAGCUGCAUAAACUUUGGAAAAGCUGGAUGAAUAGUUAAGAAUUGCUUCUCUGCAUGAUGAGGCGAGGGAUCUGUAUAAAUUUUGUUAGAACCGGAAGAAUAUACUAAACUUAUUUCUAUUUAAUGAAGAGGGAGAUCAACCCCUUAUUGACACUUUCACUUCUUUUUUUUUGUCUACAACCUUCGUAUGAAUGAAGGUUGAAAUAUGUGCAUAUGUAUAAUAUUACAAACAUUUGAAUGAAUAAAAGAGUUAAUAUAUUUGUCUCUUG